rnacentral:rRNA from 1 species
UCGGGAAUUUUGGGCAAUGGGCGCAAGCCUGACCCAGCAACGCCGCGUGAGGGAUGAAGGCCUUCGGGUCGUAAACCUCUGUCAGGAGGGAAGAACGGCACCAGAACGAGUAGCUCUGGGGAUUGACGGUACCUCCAAAGGAAGGACCGGCUAACUCCGUGCCAGCAGCCGCGGUAAUACGGAGGGUCCAAGCGUUGUUCGGAAUCAUUGGGCGUAAAGCGCGUGUAGGCGGUUGGGUAAGUCGCAUGUGAAAGCCCGAGGCUCAACCUCGGAAAUGCAAGCGAUACUGCCCGGCUAGAGUCCCGGAGAGGAUGGCGGAAUUCCCGGUGUAGAGGUGAAAUUCGUAGAGAUCGGGAGGAACACCAGUGGCGAAGGCGGCCAUCUGGACGGUGACUGACGCUGAGACGCGAAAGCGUGGGGAGCAAACAGGAUUAGAUACCCGUGUAGUCC